rnacentral:ncRNA from 1 species
CCGCCGAUCGACUCGGGGCGUGGACCGACGCGGGUCGUGGCGACGGCCCAAACCCGGGCCUUUGAUACGCCUGUGGAGACGUCGUCGCCUCGAUCGUGGGAUCCAGCACGCGCCCUCUCGGUGUGCUUCGGCACCUGUGUGCUCAGGGCGUCGGCCUGCGGGCUCCCCAUUGGGCCCGUCUUAAAACACGGACCAAGGAGUCUGACGUGUGUGCGAGUCAACGAGCUAGAAAACUCGUAAGGCGCAAGGAAUCUGAUUAGCGGGAUCCCUCACGGGUGCACCGCCGACCGACCUUGAUCUUCUGAGAAGGGUUCGAGUGAGAGCAU